rnacentral:tRNA from 1 species
GGAGCCGUGCCCGAAACCAAGGACCACUUUGAUAGAGUGAACUAUGGAGGUUAAAGUCCUCCCAGCUCCU